AAAUAGAUGGAGUUUAAUAAGGUUUAAAAAAUCUUAUUCUAAAAUAAAAUAAAAUAAGUGUAGUUCUAUAUGGAUUUUACUUUUAUUUUAUUUUACCAUUUUAUUUUAUUUAAAUAAGGAUUCGAGUCACUUAAUUCUAACAAUCUCUACCUUGACACAAAUUCUCAAUAAACAAGUUCUUCAUUGCGAACUCUCAACGAACAAGUUCUCUACCUCUUCCAUGAAACCCCUUAAGGGUUUAACUUCAACAAUGAACACCAACCAAGUCUAAGCAAUGCUCAAACUUGGUUAUAGGAAGUGACUUAGUCAUCAUAUCUAGAGAAUUUUCAUGAGUACUAAUUUUGCUCACAACAAUAUCACCACGAGCAAUAAUAUCAUGAACAAAAUGAUACCGAGCAUCAAUGUGUUUUGUUCUCUCAUAAAACAUUUGAUCUUUUGUAAGGAAGAUGACACUCUAACUGAUACAAAAUAGUGUAUUGAUUCUUUACAAGCUUCAACCAAAUAGCUUCUUUACAAGCUUCAGUAAUCGCCAUGUACUCAGCUUCAGUGGUAGACAAAGCGACUGUAGUUUACAAAGUGGCUUUCUAACUGAUUGCACAACCUCUGAUUAUAAAGACAUAACCUGUGAAAGAUCUUCUUCUUUCAAGGUCUCCAGCAAAAUCAGUAUCAACAUACCCAAUGAGUCCAUCUCUUGUUCUUCCAAACUGUAAGCAAACAUCAGCAGUACCUCGUAAGUAUCUUAAAAUCCACUGAACUACUUUUCAAUGUUUUUUACCGAGAUUUGCCAUGUAUCUGCUAACUGCACUGACUGCAUAUGAUAAAUUUGGACGGGAACAAACCAUAGCAUACAUGAGAGAUUCCACUGCAAAAGAAUAUGGAACAUGUGACAUGUACUUAACCUCAUCAUUUAAUUGUGGAGACAAAGUCGAUGAAAGUCUGAAAUGGGCAGCUAAAGGAGUACUAACAGGCUUAGCACUCUGCAUAUUGAACCUGCAAAGAACUUUCUCAAUGUACCCCUUCUGAUUUAAGUACAAUUUACUUGCUUUUCUAUCUUUGGGAUUCAUAUAGGCCAAUACGCUUAUUCCGAUUAUGACGAUUGCGAUUGAUUGAAGCUCCCGCUGGAGUAUUUGGAAAAGCGAAAAAAAAGACUGACAAAAGGCUCAUCAAGUAAUGUCGCAACUUUUGUACUGCUCACAUUAAUGCGAGGCAUUCCUUCUCAACAAGAGGAUAUCGGUCUUCGAUUCCGACCAUCAUCCGACUGAGGUAAUCUAUGUCCCUAUCUUUUUCUUCGUCACUCAAUUCCUCUCCUGAUUACUUUUCUUUAUUGCUGCCCAUAGUACUUUCAAAAAAGGGUACCCAUUAUGUCAAAGGACAAGGGCAAAGAAAGGCUAUGUGGUCCCGAAAACUCCUAGUCUUGAUAGGCCCCUCUCAUUACUCUAACCAUAAGCUAUGGCAGCUCCAGCUCGCAACCACAAGAGCCCGCCCUGCGAGGCCAGAGCGGGCUCAGCGGUCAACCUCAAUUCGAAUUACGUUAGGGGGUCUUUCGCUUUUGCCAGAUCUAGAGAGAUACUACGAGUCCUCCGUCCCAGAUUCUAUCGCCGCGGCCAUCUGGUUCACCGGUACUACCAAAAAGUCUCCAUGGGAAUUUCCAUCCAGUCUAUAGGCUGUUAGUCACAAAAUGAACCAAUCCAGACUAAGUCGACCUAUGCUUUCAAUACUUACCCUGACCCAGCCACUUAGCUCUAGCUAAGGCCGAUCCUUCGUCAUAUGCUUAGUCAAAAGCUACUUUUUGGAAGGAGUCCCUUUUCGGGAUAACCAAGAGAACACCAUCUCUGGUUCUUGGAAACCCACCGCUCUUCUUCUUAUCGCUCUGCUUCUAGCUAUUCGGAUAGACCACACCUCAGAAAGAAAGUCCGCUAUUCUAUUCAAUAUCAUGGCAGAAAUCCCGGGAAUGGGCAUCCAUCAUCAGAUGUCUAGGCACAAAAAGAGAGAUAUGCCAGAAAGACAGGAUACGAGUACUCUACUUUACGGGGGAAGGAAUGGGAUUUGGCACGCUGAAACCCUAAGCCCCUUUUCCCUGGUUUCUAUAUCUUUAUUACGAAUAAGUUUGAUGAUUCUGUUGUCUCUCUUUCCUAGACCUGUUGAAUUUACUUGCUUUUCUAUCUUUGAGAAGCUCCAUACCAAGUAUCUUCUUUGCUGGUCCAAAAUCUUUCAUCUUAAAUUCUUCAUUUAGUUGGGUUUUGACCUUUCUUAUCUCUCAUUUAUCUUUUGCUGCUAUCAACAUGUCAUCAACAUAAGGGAGUAGAUAUACAAAAGAACCAUCACUAUUUUUCUUAAAGUAAAGACAACUGUGAAAGUUACUUCUUUUGAAAUCAUGAGAAGUCAUAAAUGAAUCAAACCUCUUGUACCACUGUCUUGGUGUCUGUUUCAAACCAUAAAGGGACUUUUUCAGCAAGCAAACAUUGUCCUCUUUUUUUUACACUGUAAAACCCUCUGGUUGUUACAUGUAAAUAUCCUCCUCAAGUUCUUCAUGCAAAAAUGCAAUUUUUACAUCUAACUACUCAAGCUCCAAAUCAUGCAUGGCCAUAAUACCCAGCAAAGCUCGAAUCGAACUAUGCUCACAACUGGGGAGAACAUAUCUGUGAAAUCCACUCCUGAAAUUUGAUUGCAACCCUUUGCAACAAGCCUUACUUUAUAUCUGGGUUUUUCAACUCAUAAAGUCCCUUUUUUUCUUUUGAAACACCCAUUUAUAAAAAACAACCUUUUUACCUUAGGAAGUUUCACAAGAUCCAUGUGCUGUUUUUGUGGAGUGAUUCUAUCUCCUCUUGCAUAGCAAACAUCCACUUUUCUGAGUCUUCACAACUAAUUGCCUCAGAUUAAUUAGAUAGCUCUUGGUUUGCAUCUAUAUCUUCAGCUACAUUUAAAGCAUGAGCAACUAGACCAGCUUCGGCAUACUUCUUUGAAGGUUUAAUUUUUUUUGUAGUUCUGUUUUUGGCGAUAGAGUAUUGUAGUGAAGAAGAAAAUCUAUUAUGAACUUUUGUAUAAGCUUUAAGAGUCAACUCUGCUAUAGAUUCUGGAUUAAUCUGAUACUCUACCUACUUUUGAUUUUCUUUAUUGGAAGUCUUUAAGAGAUAAGUCAGGUAGCAUAGCAAUUUCAUAAAAAACAUCUCUGUUAAUCAUAACUUUUAUAUUUUCAAGACACCAUAACUUAUACCCUUUUACACCGGCUUUAUAACCAAGAAAUACAUAUUUAAUGGAUCUCAGUUCCAAUUUUCCAUUAUCAACAUUAGCAUACGCAGGACACCCAAAGAUCUUUAAAUCAGAAUAGUCAACAGGUUUACCAGACUAUACCUCUUGUGGAAUCUUUUUAUCAAUAGCAAUAGAUGGGAAUCAGUUAAUCAAAAAAUACAGUAGAGGCUACCUCGGCCCAAAAAUGACUUUGGCAAGUUGGCAUUUGACAACAUAUAUCAAACCUUCUCCAUGGUCGUUAUGUUCAUUCGUUCUACAACGCUGUUUUCCUGUGGAGUAUGACGAACUGUCAAGUGUUUCACAAUCCUUUUGAUUUGCACAAUUUAUUCAAAUCAUCAAAACAAAACUCUAAGCUAUUGUCUGUGUAGAGGUAUUUUAUUUGUUUUCCCAUUUGUUUAUCAAUCAUAGUUUUCCAAGACUUAAAUGCGAAAAACACAUCGCUUUUUUGCUUCAGAAAGAACACCCAAACUUUUCUGAAAAAAUUAUUAAUAAAAGUUAGCAUAUAAUUCGCUCCACCUCUCGAAGGCACUCCCGAUAGACCCCACAGAUCAGAAUGAAUAUACUCUAACAUUCUCUUCAUGUUAUGGAUUCCUCUAGUGAAUCGAACUCUCUUUUGCUUCUCAAAAACGCAAUACUCGAACUUUAGUUUGCAAAUUCCUUAUCUAUCAAGAAGUCCUCUUUUGCUCAAUUCUGUCAUGCCAUUGUCACUCAUAUGCCUUAGGUGCAUAUACCAAAGUUUAGUAAUAUCAUCAUCUGACAAAGAAGAGGAAGCGACAAAUGCAUCACCAGUAGCAGUAGAACCCUGUAAAACAAAUAACUUGGCAGUCUUUCUCUGCUCUUUUAUCACAACAAAGGAACCUUUGAAAAUCUUCAAAACCCCAUUUUCAGCUAUGUAUUUGUACAAUUUUAAAUCAAGAGUACUCAAUGAACUUAAAUUUCUCUUCAAUUCUGGAACAUGUCGCACGUCACUAAGUGUUCAAACAACUCCGUCAAACAUCUUAACUUUAAUCAUUCUAACACCUGCAAUUUUACAUGAAGCAUUAUUUCCCAUCAAAACAACACCUUCAGACACUGUUUCAUAAGUUGUAAACCAAUCCCGAUGGGACUUAUGUGGAAUGUGUAGCCCGAAUCAAGGAUCCACUCCUUGCUUACUUUAGAAUUGUUGAUAAAAACGACUAAAAGAUCACCAUCGCUGUAGUUUUCUACAACAUCAGCUUCACCGAAUUUUUCUGGUGGUUUUCCCUUUUGAUUCGCAGCCUCUCUUUUGAUCUUGUUCUGCAGCUUAUAGCACUUAGAUUUAAUGUGCCCUUUUUUCUUGCAGAAGUUACAAGUUUUUCUUCUGUUUGAAGACGUUGAUCUACCUUUAGAUUUAUUGCGAGGAUUUCGUUUCUGUGUUCUUCUACGAUCAUCAUCAGCAUUUCAAUCUUGUCUCCCACAAUCAAUGAGACCUCCCUGAAAGUCGGGUUUAACCACAACAUUUUUCAUCUUAUCAUACGAGGUCAAAAAAUCAUAAACCUCAUCAACUGUGAGAGACUCACAGCUAUAUAAAAUCGUGUCUUUAAAGGUUGAAUAAGACGGGAGCAACGAACAAAGUAGAAUCAACCUUAAAUCUUCAUUAUCAUACUAAACCUCCAUAGCCUCCAAGUUUGAGAUAAUUUCUUUAAACACUAUCAAGUGUUCGUGCAUAGAACCACCUUCCUCCAAAACGAUGAGCAUAAAGACACUACUUCAUAUACAAUUUGUUGGUUAGAGUUUGACAUACAUAUUUAUUUUAGCCUCUUCCAUAAUGCAGCGGCAGUCUUCUCCUCCAAAUCCUGCAAAAUUUCAUUAGACAAAUGCUGAUAUAAUUGUGUUAACACUUUUCGAUCCUUACUUUUCGAUCCUUACGCUUCUUCUCUUCAUCUGUUAAUGUCAAAGGCAUCUUAUCUAUCCCUAGCAAGGCAUCCUCCAAAUUUAUCUGCACAAGAACUGCUUGCAUCUUAAUCUGCUACAACAUAAAUCUAGUGUUGCGAUCUAACAGCAAAAUUUCAUACUUCAAAGACGCCAUUGCCAUGUUCGAGAUAAACAACUCGAAAGCUUUGAUACCAAUUUGUAGAAUAAAUAGAAUAUCGACAAUGACAAUAUAUCACAAAGAAAAAAGAAAUAAAAAUAAAGAACACAGAUUUUUACGUGAAAACCCUUUCAAAAAAAAAUCACGAGCAGAGGAGAAGAAAAUUUACUAUGUUGAAGUCGAAUGAUUAGAAGAGGAGUAGACUAUAUCUAUUAUAGGCUUUUAAAACCAUAUUUCUAAUAGAAGCGUAUUAAGAUUGAAACACCUUAUUUUAAUCAAUAUCAAAUAGAUGGAGUUUAAUAAGGUUUAAACCUUAUUCUAAAAUAAAAUAAAAGAAGUGUAGUUCUAUAUGGAUUUUACUUUUAUUUUAUUUUACCACUUUAUUUUAUUUAAAGAAGGAUUCGAGUCAUUUAAUUCUAACAAUUAGAAAGCACUUUCAAUUUUCCUUUCCAUACUUUAGAUCAAAUUGAAGAAGAUCCACCAAAAGCAUCCUUCAAAGGCUAUAGAACAACCUACCCUUAUUUCGGUUCCAUUUUAACUCUUACUGAGUCAACUAGUUACAACUCCUCAAUUUCACUCAUUAUAAAAAUCUUGAACAAUCUGCUUUCAUGUGAUAGCAAUGCCGCACUUGCAGAUUUUAAUUUGUUGAAACACUUUUGUCUCCUCCUAGCAAUCAUACAAGGAGAAAAUCGAUUAUUUGCACCAAAUGUAAUGUUAUCACCUUUAUGUCCUACCCUAGUCCCUUCACUCAUCGAAUUUGCCUCAUUAGCAUUCUUUCUCAAGAAUAGUUUAAUUUUAUGUUGAUACACUCCAUAUACAGAGAAAUCAUCUAGACCUUCAUAUUCCACUUUUUUUUUCCUAAAAUGAACAUAUCUUCAUACAACCAAUAAUUAUAUUAAAAUUAAGUUAAAAAUUUGAAAUCAAGUCAUUAAAAGGAAAAGGAUGUGGGUUGCUCAAAUUCGAAACCUAGCCUAAUAUCAACCGAGACUUCAAAUUAAUAAAAGCCUAUAGCCACACUAUAAUAUUAAUUUCAUACAUUACUAGUUAAAUAUAUUUCAUCUCCUUAUUCAAAUGUGGUUUACAUGAGUAGAUAGGAACUUUGGUCCUCUUUGGUUCCAUCAAAGUAAACUUGUCAAUUAAAACUUGAAUUCAAAAAUCAGACUUCAUAAACCUAAACCUGACGCAACCUAAUUUGACUAUAAAAUUCAACAAUCCAAACACAUUCAACCCACACUUAAAUUAAAUUGAAUCUAAUCUAACUAAACUUGAAAUUGAUUCAAACAUGUAACAAUUUGAACUUGAACCUGAACACAAAAUGAUCCAAACAGAUAACCUAAAAAACAAUGAAUUUGAAGUGGCUCAAACUCAAAACGAUCUUAAACACUAAAUUAUUCAAGCUCCAAACAAUUUAAAUUUGAAAUUAUUUGAACUUGAAAUUGAUAUAAACUGAAAAUAAAGUGAGCCCAAAACUACAUGCACUAAUGUGGCAAAAAAAUUAAAUAUUAUUUUAAAAAAAAAUAAAACAUGAAUUGAAUUUAUCCAAAUCAUCUUCAUCCAAAAUUAACUCAAUGCGCUCAUUUAACAAAUCUAAUUAGAUGUGAUAGUUAUUGUUAGCUAAAAUUUGAUAAAAUUUUAUCUUCACCGCCAAAAAUUCUUUAUUCAAUCCCACCCCCUUUAUUACAAAAGUUUGACUUUGUUCUUUAUUAAAAUUCUAUAUUUAAAAUUUCUAUAUCUUCUCUAAGUUGCAAGCUUACUAAAUAUAACUACUUCUUCUUUCUUCUUUUUGUGUAAAAAGAAAAAUCAUAGAGAAUUAAAUUAAACUAACAAAAUUAAAAGUAUAACUAGUAUUAUCAUUAUCAAGGGCUUUAAGUAAUUUUGUCGGGCCUUUUUGUAAGAUAUGUGUUGGACCAAUUUUCUUUGCCUAGCCCACUAAUCAAACCCAUUAACCACUAGCCCAAUCCUAUAACCCAAAACAGCCCAAAACCAAAACAAAAUUAACCUCAAUAUCCCAAUCCCCACAUCGUACGUGCCUCCACCAUCCACCGUACCUCCAAGACGUGCGCUACUAGCAGUCCUUCUUUGUCACGCCUCGUGCUUCCGAGAUAUCCGCAACAACACCUGUAACAGGAAGCAAACAGAUAGCAACCAAUAGAAGAUUUUAUUUUUUUUCUAGGUUAUAAAAGCCAUUCUAAACAAUGUAAAUGGGUCGAUUUUUGUUUACUACAAAAAAUCAGGGAGAAAUAUACGAAAACAGCAAGUUUUGAGUAAAAGCUUCCAUACAUUCGAAUAGAAUAAGGUGGUUACAAUAUUUUCUUUUAGUUUUUUUUUAUCUUAAGAGCUUUUUGUGGAUCUAUCUUGUAUUUUUGAAAAACAGUUAAAAAAAUAAAAAGAUUUUAGGAGGGCCUUACCUGGACUCCCGUGCGUGCUGUUGGCCACCAAAUCCAGUGGUGGAGCGGCAGCGGUUGAAGGUUGCGAUGAUGGGCGUGGUUCAUGGCCCUAGCAGAAGAAAAAGGGUGAAAGUCCCUUUGUUUUCCUUUCAAUUUUAGCGAAUAGAAAUGGGGGGGUUUCUUUAAUUUUAGUUUUAAAAUGGCAGACAGCCAUCAUUUAUUCCGCCUUUAAUUCUAAGGGGAACAGCUCCAUUUCAUUUUUUGGUUUUAUUGCGCAUUAGGUCCUCCCCUGUUGUGUGAUCACUUGAUUGGGCCCUUUUGAGCUUUUUUCCUUCUUUUUUUAAAAAAUUGGCCCCGAAUAUUUGCGCGCCGAUUCAAUUUGGUACAAGCUGAAACGCUGUGUUUAGGAGGCUUGAGAUAUUUUCCUUUUUACUCCCCAAUCAUUGACGCGCGUCAUAUUUCGGUCCCUAACCUUUUUUUUAUUCUGAUCUUGGCCCAAAAACUCCCAUUUUAAUUUCAAUUAAGCCUCAUUUUGAUUAUUUAAACACUUUUAGCAAAAAAUUAAUUAUUUUUUUUGUUUGUAAUAUUAUUCUUCUAUUUUAUUUCAUUAUAUCCUAUUAUUUUUUUAGUUUUUUAUCCUACCAUUUAUUUUAUUAUUUUUAUUAUACUAUUAUCCAUUAUAUCUAUUAUAUUACUUGUAUAUUGUUUUGGUUCCCCUAAUAAUUUUUUUUACACUUUAUUUUAAACUAUUAUAUUAUUACUAUUAAUCCUUUUUUAAAAGUUAAUUAUUUUGAUCUUUUAUAUCCAUUAGGUAUAUUAUUUAUGUUUACUAAUAAUUAUUGCUUCUGUACUAUUUAUUUUAAAGUGUCACAUUGUUAUUAUUAUUUUUCUUCUAUACAUUUUUUAUUAAUUAUUUUAAAUACAGUUUUUCCAUAUUUUUUUUAUUUUUUUUUCACUACUAUCAUUUUACUAUGUAUACAUCAUCAUUCGACAUAUUAUUUUCACUUCUAUUAUGCAUUUUUCGUAUCGUUAAUAUCUUUAUUGCUAUGUUUGUUAUGUUAUUACAUUUAUUACUAUUGUUAUAAUUAUUGUUGAUUUUCCUUAUAUUUACUAUAUCCUCGGUAUUAAUAUAUACACUGUCAAGUUUAUUGUUUGGCUAUUUUGCAUGUUAUCAUUUUUUUGUUAAGUUUCAACCGCCCCAAAUUCAUUUUUAUUCGAAGAUUAUAGGCAAUAUUUGAUAUUUAGGUUCCUCGGAAGGAUUGUGCCCUAACUUACUGGGUUCCAAUUUUCCUUGUUAAACCUAAAUAAUUGAGUACCCUUCUUAAAUCUAAUUGUAUGAGGUUCAAAUGAAAACCUAUUAUUGAAAUUCGGGACGUUGCACCCUAACUUACUAGGUAUGGCAUCGCGUUAUAUUGAGGAUAGUGAUUUCCAAAAUCAAGGCAGCCUUCGGUAUUUGGGGAGUUCUGAGAGAUUAAACUCUAACUUACUGAGUUCUAAUUUUUCAUGAGUCCCGGAGGACCGAAUAUCCUUCUCUUGAAUCUUCAUACAUGAAUUUUAAAAAUCAAAAACCAGCUUAGUCCCGAAGGUCUGAAAUGUUAAACCUUAACUUAUUAGAUAUGGCAUUUUCCCCCUUCGAGAUGAGUAGGUCUUUACAUUUUAUUCAAUUUAUUCCCUUUUUUUAAUAAAAGGAUCGUACUCUAAAGUCUUUUCAAAUUUUGACACCAAGACAUUAACUAAUCAAAUAGGUACCAAUUUUUGGGCGUUACGAGGGUGCUAAUCUUUCCUCGUACGUAGCUGACUCCCGAGCCCAUUUUCUCAAACUUAGCAGACCAAAAAGAGUUAUUGUUUUAAUAGGCCCAAAUGUUUUAUUAAAACAAUUGAUUUUAAGGUGGCCCAAUCUCACCUUGGAAAAGAUUGGUGGCGACUCCAUUUACAUUUUUAAAGUCGAUCCACAUUUUUCAAAACUUAAAAAUGGUUUCGACAGCUUGGCGACUCCACUGGGGACCAACAAGAGAGUCAAGCCGCGAUUUGAUUACUUUUUGUCUUUUGUCGAAACUUGAAGUUGGUUUUGAGUCUACGAUCCUCUUAUUGCAUUUCAUCUGUUUGGUGUUAUAUUUUUUUUUGGCAUUUUUUUCCCAAAGUUCUUUCAUAUCUUCUGUCAUUGCAUUGCAUGACCAUUGUAGUCACACCUCUUAAGUGGGAGUGAGAAGCUAUUUCCUUCGUGAGGUUUUCACCUCUGUGCAGGUUAGUGGAUUGCUUUCGGGAUAAAUCCGUACCUAUGUCUUCGUGAGGUUUUCACCUCCGUGCAGCCAUAGGGAAAUGUAUCCCCCUGAACUGAACUCGGUCUAUAUGAGCCUAUAAUGGGUGAGGAUCGAGGAAUUUGCUAGUUCAGGUACCUCAACUCUAGAACCAAACCACAUAUAGAGGAACCCUAAGGGCCCACAUUUGGAAGAACUAUGCUAAACCCUAGUGAUUACCCUUAAUAGGUGCUUUUUUUUAUUUUCUUCACUUUGAGUUAUGUUUCUGAUAUAUGAUACUAACUUGCUGUGUUUUGUUUGCCAUAUUUGCAUGUCAUUCCACAUUUGAAAGGUGUCAAUUCGUGUUCAAUUUUCUGAAUUAGAAAGCUCGUCAUGGGGGACAAAUUCCUUGAUAAGGUAGAAAAUAAUGCAGCUGUCCGUAAAUGGUCAGAGAUAACACAAUUAGAGAAGGGAGACAGCCUAGCCAAGGGAUACAAAUCUGAGUUAUGGGAUUAUACUCACAUUAGCGUGACUCAAAAUAAUCAUCGGGAAUUGAAGGAGAUAUGGGAUCAGUGGGAUGAUGAGGUUAAACAAUUAUUCUACUGCAACUAUAAAGAUCUACCGUACCUACUUGGUAUCGAAAUAGACGAACACUUAUUCCGGGACCUUGCUCAGUAUUAGAACCCUGCAUAUAGUUGCUUCACAUUUGGGAGGGUGGAUUUAGUACCCAUGGUGGAGGAGUAUAUAGCUUUAUUAAAUUGUCCGAAGGUACAAGUCGAUAAGGCCUAUUCGAGAGCUGCUUAUGUUUCGGUAUUUUCGAAAAAGUUAAUGAAUAUUACUGGAAUGAGCGAACAGUGGGUUACGGCAAGGAUCAAGCAGAAAGGGGAGUGUAAGUGUAUCCCAUGGAAGAAUUUGUGAGAUUUGAUCCUAACAUAUCCUGAUAUGAAGAAGAAAGUUGACGUCUUUGCCUUGAGUAUUUACGGGUUGAUGCUCUUCCCUAGGGCAUUGGGAUAUGUUGAUGAGGCGGUCAUGGAUCUAUUCGACCGACUAGACAAGGGAGUCACACCAGUUCCUGCAAUUUUAGCUGAGACAUUCAGGUCCUUGAACUUGUGUAGAAGGACCGGCGAUGACAGAUUUAUAGGGUGUGCACAGUUAUUGUUAGUAUGGUUUCACAGUCAUUUUUGGAAGAUAGACAAAGGUCAUUAUAAAGCUUUCUUUGGGAAUUAUUCCCCAUUAAAGGAGAUAGUAGCUACACCCAGAAGAGAUGACAUAUCGGAAGAAAACUGGAUCGCGCUCCUGCGGAAUCUUCAGGGAGAGGACAUUGAGUGGAAAGCACCUUGGUGGAUGCCUAACAAAAUUCUUUUUUGAUGUGGGAGUUUUGAUUGGGUCCCUUUGCUUGAAAUCUGAGGAACCAUUGGAUAUGCUCCCUUGCUCGUGCUUAGGCAAUAUGCAGUAAGACAGUUCAUACCAGUAACCCAUGGGCUUGCUCAAUGCGAAUUUUCAUAUAAGGGAGACUACAAGAAAAGGGUUAAAGAGAUUUUUAAUGCUUGGAAUCAGACUCGUCGAAUGGAAGGGUUGGCUGCAGAUCCGAUGACGACCCCUGAGUAUGAUGGAUGAUUGAGUAGACGAGUUAACGACAAUAUCCCUGGGUCAAGUUUAGAGGAUGCUCAACCGAUAGAGGAGUAUUUGCGAGAAAUUCCCUCUGAAUUAGAAAUUAUAAAAAAGGAUUUUGAGAAGAGAAGUUUAGAGUUGGGGAAAAAGAUAGAGCAACUCGAAGAGGAGAAGGUAUAUCUAAAAUUAGACAUUGACGUCCAGAAAUUAGACGCCGAGAAACUGAGAAAGGGGAAAAGGAAAGCUGAAGAAGACUUGGACAGUCUGAAGAAUGAUUACAAGGAAUUGCAUAUGUCGAUGAGAACUGCCGGGUUAGGAAAAACAUCGAAGCAAUGGUAACAAGAAAUCCAAGAAGAAAAGUCUAAGGCCGAUCAAUAGAAGAGGAGGUUAUGUGAUGCUCGAGCACAAGAGGAAGCCCUUAAAAGAACUACAUCAGAGAGUCAAAGUGAAAAUGAGACGUUAAGAGCUCGAAUAACAGAGUUAGAAAAGACAUUGCAUUAGCAUCAUAGUCGUAACUCUGUAAUGGAAUUAAAAGCUAGCUUAAGUGAGAUCGAGAAUCUGAAGGGGAAGAUAGAAGAAGUUGGGGCUGCGCUACAGGAUUGUGAACACCGAAUUGAAUCACUAGAAGCAAAUAGUAAGCAAUUGGAGGAACAACUUCAUCGGCCUCAGAAUAAGGUUCGAGAUAAAGAUCACCUCAUGGGAGAAGCUAUAGUUCAGAUUCGAGAAGUGGCGGAACAUUUAAAAAUCCUGGCAGUCCAAGCUGAUGUAUUAAGUAUAAAAUAUGAGUCAAUAUCGAACCGAGGUUAAGAGCUGGCUGAACUUCUUUAAAAAGUUAGAGCUCUAGGCAUAAGGGCUAGGCCGUAUAUGUAGUCUAUUUUUUAUGUAAAAGAUUUUGUCUUUUAGUAAAGUUAUUCUAAAUAAAAUUGAAUCAGAUUGACACCUUUUUGCAUUCAUGUCAUGCAUUUGCAUUGUAUAGCAUCAUAAACAUUAAGUUGCACAAAAGAACCCUAUUAAUUAGUGAUAAUUUAUCUAGUUACCCUGGAACAUCGCUACUAUACACGGAGGAAAACAAGGGAUAUGGAUCAGAGGUUAGAGAAAUUAGAACAAAUGCAAAAGGAGAUGCAGGAGAAACUGCAAGCUCAGAUGCAAGAACAGCUGGCUAGGAUCCAGCAGUAGAUGAGGGAUCAAAUGCUGGAGUCCCAGAAAAACAUGCUGGAGUCACAGAACAACAUGAUGAGCCAGCUGACACAGCUGCUGAAGGGAGGGUCUGACAAAGGAAAAGGCCCUAUGGGGGUCAUGGGAAAUGAAAAUGAGGAUUCUGCUUGUCCUACAAGCUUUGCGCCAGUAAACAUGAAAACACAACCACCAAGGGUGUCUGUUAAUGUCCAACCUCUUUAUCAAACUGGUACCUCGGUACCAGUAAACUUCCCAACAGGAUCGAGCACCAACCCUGGAGAUAAUCUAGCAAACCCUCAGGUCCCUGACUUCGAUGACGCAGCAGAGGUGGAAAAGAUAAAGGCUGAAGUCCCAAAACGAUUUGAGGAUUGAUGCAAAUGGUUGGAGGAAAAGUUCAAGGAGUUAGAGAAUGCUGAUCAUUACAGCGGAAUCGAUGCAAAGGAACUGAGUUUGAUCCCGGACUUAGUACUUCCCCCAAAGUUUAAAAUGCCAGAAUUUCAAAGAUAUAACGGAACUAGCUGCCCUGAGGCUCACAUUACGAUGUUUUGUCAAAGGAUGACGGGGUAUGUCAACAAUGAUCAACUGUUGAUCCAUUGUUUUCAGGACAGUUUGAGUGGGGCUGCAGCGAAAUGGUACAAUCAGUUGAGCCGUGCUCAAGUCAAAUCAUGGAAGGAUUUGGCGCAGGCCUUCAUAAAACAGUAUGGCCAUAUGACUAAUAUAGCACCUGACAGGAUUACAUUACAGAACAUGGAGAAAAGGUUAGGUGAAAGCUUCAGGAAAUAAGCCUAGAGGUGGAGGGAAGUCGUUACGCAAGUCCAACCACCACUACUGGAAAAAAAAACGACUAUGCUUUUUAUUAAUACCUUGAAGGCACCUUUCAUUAAUCAUAUGUUGGGGAGCGCAACUAAGAGUUUCGCAGACAUAGUGAUGUCUGGCGAAAUGAUAGAAAAUGUAAUAAGGUGCGGGAAGAUAGAAACAGGAGAAAGCACGAGAAGGUCAGCCCCAAAGAAAAAGAAAAACGAGGUAAGCAACGUGAGUUCAGGCUAUUCAAAACCUGUCACCGUUAAUCAAUCGAGAACGAUAGUCAUAGGCCAGCAGGCCACACCAAGGCGAGAGCCUAACACAAGUCAGAAUACAAAGAGGUUCCAGUUCACUCCUAUACCAGUGACGUAUAAGGAGCUGUAAAAAAAGCUGUUCGAUGCACACGUAGUGGCCCCUUUCCACUUAUAACUGUUACAACCCCCAUACCCUAAAUGGUAUAAUGCAAAUGCUCAGUGCGAAUACCACGCAGGGAUUACGGGGUACUCGAUAGAAAACUGUACCUUGUUCAAAAGGUACGUAUAAAGGCUUAUCAAAGUAGGUGUUGUAAAAUUCGAUGAUACACCUAGUACGGGAAAUCUGUUGCCCAGUCACACUGAUAAAGGGGUAAACGCGAUAAUUGAGAAUGUGAGGAGGAAAGCCAAGCUGAAUAUUGCGGAUAUGAGAACCCCAUUGAAGCUAGUUUGAAAGGAAAUGCAAAAGAGAGGUUUAGUCCCGCAGGGGUUGGGGAAUAAAAUCCAAGAUACACGGAACUACUGUGAGUUCCAUUAUGAGAAAAAUCACGAAAUCCAGAAUUGUAUUGAGUUCAGGGCCCUAGUACAGGGUCUAAUGGAUAAUAAGGAAUUGGAGUUCCUCGAGUCUGUCGAAGAGGAGGAUGUAUGCUCUCUAGGAGGAGAGUCAAGUGAAGAAGGCUGCAAAGCCAGCCAUCCAGUGAUAAUUAUUUCGAAGCCCAGAGUUAGUGAAGUAGAAGCAAGAGUCACACCAAGAGUUGUAAUCCAGAAGCCAAUAGCUCCCCCUUAUAAAGAUAGUCGUAGGAUGCCUUGGAAUUAUAACUGUAGUAUAGCAGUUUCAGAGAAAGAGGGUUCGAUUGACACGCUAAACACAGAGGCCGAAUCAGCAAAAGAGAAACCCAUCAUGCUCAAGCAAGAAGUCGAGAGAUCAGAACCACUGGUUAAUGAGCCAGUACAAGAAAAUGAAGCCAAGGAGUUCUUGAAGUUCCUAAGACACAGCGAGUAUAGUGUUGUGGAACAACUACACCAAAAAUCGAAUCGCAUAUCGGUAUUGGCUCUGCUGUUAAAUUCAGAGGUCCACCGCAAUGCAUUGAUGAAAGUGUUGAACAAAACCUAUGUUGCGGAUGACAUUUCGGUUAACAAAUUGGAUCGUCUUGUCGGCAGCAUAAGUGCUGACAAUUUCAUCUUCUUCAGUGAUGAGAAGAUACCGCCAGGGGGUAGGGGGUCUACUAAGGCUCUGCAUAUUACUACACGUUGCAAGGGGUAUACGCUACUCGGAGUGCUAGUUGAUAAUGGGUCCGCAUUGAAUGUGUUGCCUUGGGCUACGUUAAACCGUUUACCUAUAGACAAUUCCCAUAUGAAGACGUGUCAGAACAUAGUAAGAGCAUUUGAUGGCACAGAAAGGAAAGUAAUUGGAAGGAUAGAAGUACCUCUUCAGAUUGGCCUAAAUGCGUACGAGGUAGAUUUCCUCGUGAUGGAUAUUAAGCCUUCCUAUAACUGUGUAUUAGGAAGACCUUGGAUUCACUCAGCCGGGGCAGUGCCAUCCUCGCUGCACCAGAAGCUAAAGAUGGUUACUGAGGGUCGGCUAAUAACAAUAAAUGCAGAUGAGGACAUUAUUGCGUCAGUUACCAGUGAUGCACCCUACGUAGAGAAUGACAACGAAGUGGUUGAAUGUUUAUUUAGAUCAUUAGAGUUUGUAAACGCAACAUUUAUAGCUGAAGAAAGCAGGAUUCCGAUACCUAAGAUAUCAAUGGCUACGAAAAUGAGCCUGCAGCUGACAGUUGGGAAAUGAGCAUUACCUGGCAGAGGACUCGGGAGGCACCUCCGUAGACAAAUUAGAGUGCCAAUCUUGGUUAGCAAGUGGGAUCGCUUCAGUUUGGGAUUCAGGCCAGUGAAGAAGGAGUUUGAAAGGAAACAAGAACAGCGGAGAGCGAGAUUGAGUGGGACAGAAGUCAGGUGGGAACCGAUGAGCUUCCUCCACAUUUCUCAAACAUUUGUAUCUGGAGGGUUUAUUCAUUCUAUACAUGAGAGGAUAAAAGAAGGAAUGGUCGAGGAUGUGAUGGGAAUUUGGAACAUCAACGCCACGUUUGAAGAGGAAGCAAUGGAAAUAAAUUUAUCAGGCAUUUGCCCGUAUGAGCCUGGGAGUGUUUUGGAUAACUGGACUGAGGAAGAAAUUCCUGUAAUCUUUAGAGCUAACACAGAGUAAUAUUCAAAACCCACUUGUUGUCUUCUAGCCUAGGGACAAUAAGAAUCUUUUGUGAAAUAGGCCCAUGUUCAAACAUUAUUAUUUUCAAUAAAAAAUGCAUUUUCAUAUAUCGGUUCGAGCAAUUAUUCUUUCUUCUUUUUCAUUUCAUACACAAUCAUACCAUACAAAGGAAUUAUUCAUUUCGUUUUCUUUGGGUAUUCUCUUAUACUCAUAAUAGGCCCUCAGAUGUCAACGUCAUGAGUAAUGCUGAUGUGAGCCCAGAAUCUCCUUUUGAGCGAGACAUGUGCUUUGAGGGAUUUCAAGAUUUUAAAGAGGACGAGGAUUGUGGUUUAUCUCCCGAUUUUUUAAGGAUGGUGGAGCGAGAAGAGGAACAGAUCCUGCCACACAAAGAGACUACUAAUAUUGUGGCCCUGGAAGAGGGGAAGGAAGUCAAAAUUGGCACUUGCGUUAACGAGAAAACAAGACAGAACCUCAUUGAACUGUUACAAGAAUUCAAGGACGUCUUUGCAUGGUCAUACUAGGAUAUGCCUGGUCUAAGUACCGAUGUCGCAGUGCAUCGUGUCCCUACAAAAAAUAAUUGCAAGCCAGUUCAGCAGAAGCUCCGAAGGAUGAGACCCCGAUGUAGCAAUGGAAAUAAAGGAAGAAGCCAAGAAACAGUUUAAUGCUAGAUUCCUACAGGUGGUCAAUUAUUCAGAAUGGGUGGCCAACGUUGUCCCUGUCCCUAAGAAAGAUGGGAAAGUGCAGAUGUGUGUAGAUUAAAGAGAUUUAAACAAGGCCAGCCCAAAGGAUAACUUUUCAUUGCCUCACAUAGGAUAACUUUUCAUUGCCUCACAUAGACACUCUAGUGGAUAAUACGGCAGGCUAUUCACUGUUCUCCAUCAUGGAUGGGUUCUCCGGGUACAAUCAGAUCAAGAUGCAUCAUGAGGACAGGGAAAAAAUCACAUUUAUAACUUUAUGGGGAAUGUUUUGCUACAAGGUGAUGCCCUUCAGGUUGAAAAAUGCAGGACCCACAUACCAAAAAGCCAUGGUAACCUUGUUCCAUGACAUGAUGCACAAGGAAAUUGAGGUCUACGUUGACGACAUGAUUGUAAAAUCCCAAACUGAAGAGGAGCAUGUGCGAGUGUUGAGGAAAUUAUUCCUGAGGUUGAGAAAAUUUCAAUUAAAGCUCAAUCCGUCAAAAUACACCUUCGGAGCUAGGUCCGGAAAGCUACUCGGCUUCGUAGUCAGUGAAAAGGGAAUAGAAGUCGACCCUGAUAAAGUCAAGGCUAUACAGGAGCUGCCUCCGCCACGAACUCAGAAAGAAGUUUGAGGUUUCCUAGGGAGACUAAACUAUAUCGCACGGUUUAUUUCACAACUGACUGAGAAGUGUGACCCCAUAUUUCGUAUUCUUAAAAAGCACAAUCCUGGGGUAUGGGAUGAUGAAUGCCAAGAAACCUUUGAAAAGGUUAAACAAUAUUUGUCCAGUCCUCCAGUGCUAACACUACCAAGCCCUGGUAGACCAUUGAUACUGUACUUAACAAUAUUUGAUAAUUCGAUGGGGUGUGUGCUCGGCCAACACGAUGAGACUGGGAGAAAAAAAGAGCGAUAUAUUAUCUCAGUAAAAAAUUCACUGAGUGUGAAAUGAGGUAUCCGCCAAUUGAGAAGCUCUGUUGUGCUUUGUUUUGGACAACACGAAGGUUGAGGCAAUACAUGUUGUACCAUACAACUUGGCUAAUCUCAAAGCUAAACGCUCUCAAAUACAUGAUGGAGUCAACAUUUUAAAUGGAAUGAUGGCCCGAUGACAGAUUCUACUCUCUGAAUUUGACAUAGUCUAUGUAAACCAAAAAGCUGUGAAGGGGAUUGCAAUAGCAGACUUCCUAGCCAGUAGAGCUUUGGAGGACUAUGAACCUUUGAAUUUCAGUUUCCCCAAUAAAGAUCUAGUGUAUGUAGCAAUCGCUGAAGGAGACAUGCCUGAAGAUCAUUCUUGGAAAUUAAAUUUUGACGGAGCAUCAAUUGCCGUUGGAAAUGGAGUUAGGGCAAUACUGAUAUCCCCAAAUGGAUAUCAUUAUUCAUUCACUUGCAAGCUGGAUUUUGACUGCACAAAUAAUAUGGCAGAAUACGAGGCAUGUAUCAUGGGAAUUGAAGCAGCUAUAGAAGGCGAAAUCAAAGUACUAGAAGUUUAUGGAGAUUCUGCAUUGGUAAUUUAUCAACUUAUAAGCGAGUGGGAAACAAGAAAUCCCAAAUUGAUCAGUUACCGAAAGCUAAUCCUGGAGUUAAUUGAAGAGUUUGAUGACAUUACCUUUCAUUACCUCCCCAAGACGAGAAUCAGAUCGCUGACGCCUUGGCUACACUAGCUUCCUUGAUCAAAGUAAAUAGACAGGAGGAUAUGAAGCCAAUUCAAAUGAGUAUCUGUGAGGCUUCAGCUCACUACUGUAAUAUCGAUGAAGAGGAAGAGAGAGAUGAUCAUCCUUGGUAUCAUGAUAUCUUACAAUAUGUGAAGAGCCGUACGUACCCAGAUCAAGCAACCGAAAAUGAUAAAAGAACAUUGAGGAGGUUAGCCAGUGACUAUGUCCUAGACGGUAAGGUCCUAUAUAAGAGGAGAAAAGAUCAGGAGUUGCUAAGAUGUGUUGACGCUGUUGAGGCAAAGAAAAUUCUAGAGGAAGUCCAUGAUGGUGUCUGUGGGACACAUGCCAAUGGUUUCACAAUGGCUCGACAGAUCAUGAGAUUCGGAUAUUACUGGUCUACAAUGGAAGGAGAUUGUAUCAAUUACGCUAAGAAGUGCCAUAAGUGUCAAAUUUAUGGAGACAAGAUCUAUGUGCCUCCUUCACCCCUCCAUUUUAUGACUUCCCCAUGGCCAUUCUCAAUGUGGGGCAUGGACAUCAUUGGGCCGAUUUCGCCAAAGGCUUCCAAUGGACAUCGAUUCAUUUUUGUGGUCAUUGACUACUUUACCAAAUGGGUAGAGGCUACUUCGUACGCCAAUGUCACAAAGUCGGCGGUCAGCAAGUUCUUGAAGAAAGAGAUCGUAUGCCGUUAUGAUAUGCCAGAAAGAAUCGUAUCUGACAACGCGUUGAAUCUGAACAAUAGCGUAAUAACAGAAGUCUACAGCCGGUUCAACAUUAAACAUCACAACUCGUCACCAUACCGCCCGAAAAUGAAUGGGGCGGUUGAGGCAGCUAAUAAGAACAUCAAGAAGAUUGUGGGGAAGAUGGCAGAGACCUACAAAGAUUGGCAUAAAAAGCUCCCAUUUGCCCUUUAUGCUUAUCGGACAUCUGUCAGAACUUCUACUGGGGUAACACCUUUCUCAUUAGUUUAUGGGAUGGAGGCAGUUUUACCUAUUGAGGUCAAAAUCCCUUCUCUUCGAGUUUUAUCAGAGCUGAAGUUGGACGAAGCAGAAUGGAUCCAAUCUCGUUACAAUCAACUAAACUUGAUUGAAGAGAGGAGGCUGAAUGCUAUUUGUCAUGGUCAAAUGUACCAGAGGAGAAUGAUGCGAGCCUACAACAAAAAAGUUCGCCCUAAGGUAUUCCAUAAGAGGGACUGAGUAUUGAAAAAGAUUCUCCUUAUGCAGAAAGAUUUCAGGGGGAAAUGGAUGCCAAAUUGGGAAGGACCCUAUGUGGUAAAAAAAGCUUUCUCUGGAGGGGCAUUGAUACUAGCAGAGAUGGAUGGCAAGAGCUUGCCUAACCCGAUAAAUUUAGAUUCUGUCAAAAGAUAUUUUGCUUGAAGCAGUUGAGGUGAAAACCCGUAAAGGGCGCAAAAAAAAAGGGAGAGGCCAAGGUGAAAACCUGUAAAAGGGCGCCUUAAGACCAAAGGGGUUUUUGAAUUGAAAACCCACAAAGGGCAAUUCAAAUUUCAAUCCAAACUGGGGCAAGCGGCAGUCUCACUACACUUGAAUCGACAAAGAAGAGAUAAGCUACAUCUUGGGGCAUCAACAAAAUGCUAUAGAUCCCUUAAGAGUGUGCCAAGUUUAAAAGGGUCCUCAAGGAGUUCGUACAGGAAAGCUCAAACUGUGAAAUCUGGGGCACCUAUUCUGUUCCUUUCAUCCGUUUUUAUAUCUCAAACAAUGUCUACUUUCUUUGUUGAUACAUCUUUCGCAAAUUUUGACUCGAAUAAAUUUCAGUUCUACCUAUCAUUAUAAUCUUUUUCGAGUAUUUUUAUUGAAAUAAUGAUUAAUGAACUAAUAAUGCUCUCAAAAGAAGGUUUUGCAUAUUACUUUGAAAGGUUUCUAAACAAUACGAGAACCUAAAACAGGACAAUUAUUUAGAACUCACCGAGCUUAAAAGGGCUAGAAACGUGUGAGAAAUAAUUGAUUAACCGCAUCUUCAAGUCCUCUUUUACCGAGCUGAACAAAAAGGCAUAUGUCAGGGAUGUUACCUUAGUAAAUAACAAGCGAUGACAGCCCAAAAGUUAAAAUGGAUCAUUCUCAUGACAUUGUGCAUUUUGUGCAUUUAACAUCCAUCAUACAUGUAGUUAGGAGCAUUUGAUUCAUAUUAAUCAUGGCAACCUAAUCAUCUAGCAUAAGCAUAUCACUCUUCUACAGAUGGAUUCCCAGUGGACAAGGUAGCAAGAUUACAGAUAUCAUCAGCCUUAUCUUCACUGGGCAGGAGUGGAGCAGGCUAAAUAUCAGAUCUUAUCUUCAUUGAGCAGGAGUGAAGCAGAUCAAAUUUUGGAGAAUCUUAUCUCCACGUACCGGCGAUGGAGCAGAUUCCAAUCAUCAGCUUUAUCUUCACUGAGCAGGAGUAGAGCAGGCUAAAUAUACCAGGUCUUAUCUUCACUGAACAGGAGCGGAGAAGAUCAAAUUUUGGUGAAUCUUAUCUCCAUGGAUCGACAAUGGAGCAGAUUUCAGCCACCAGUCUUAUCUUCACUGAGCAGGAGUGAAGCAGAUCAAAUUAUAGCAAAUCUUAUCUUCGUUGAGCAGGAGCGAAGCAGAUCAGAUUUCAGCAGAUCCCACCCCACUGAACAGGAAUGGAAUGGAUCAAGUCUCAAUAAAUCGUAUAUCUACAAAGUAGCAAUGAAGCAUCUGGAAGUAAUAGGAUGCAGGGGGUUAAAACGAGGCUACUUGAAGAAAAGAGGCAAUCAAGAAAUCAAGACAUGAUGGGGCCAGGCAAAAUUGGCCCUUCUAAGUCUUUGCUCUAUUCUCGUUACACGACAAUGAGCAAAGAGGGGCAGCUGUUGGACCAAUUUUCUUUGCCUAGCCCACUAAUCAAACCCAUUAACCACUAGCCCAAUCCUAUAACCCAAAAUAGCCCAAAACCAAAACAAAAUUCACCUCAAUAUCCCAAUCCCCACAUCGUACGUGCCUCCACCAUCCACCGCACCUCCGAGACGUGCACUACCAACAGUCCCUCUUUGUCACGCCUCGUGCUUCCGAGAUAUCCGCAACAACACCUAUAACAGGAAGCAAACAGAUAGCAACCAAUAGAAGAUUUUAUUUGUUUUUCUAGGCUAUAAAAGCCAUUUUAAACAAUGUAAAGGGGUCAAUUUUUGUUUACUACAAAAAAUCAGAGAGAAAUAUACGAAAACAGCAAGUUUUGAGUAAAAGCUUUCAUACAUUCGAAUAGAAUAAUGUGGUUACAAUCUUUUCUUUUAGUUUUUUUUAUCUUUAGAGCUUUUUGUGGAUCUAUCUUGCAUUUUUGAAAAACAGAGUUAAAAAAAAUAAAAAGAUUUUAGGAGGGCCUUACCUGGACUCCCGUGCGUGCUGCUGGCCACCAAAUCCAGUGGUGGAGCGACAGCGAUUGAAGGUUGUGAUAAUGGGCAUGGUUCAUGGCCCUAGCAAAAGAAAAAGGGUGAAAGUCCCUUUG
rnacentral:lncRNA from 1 species